GUGGGGAAUCUUAGACAAUGGGCGCAAGCCUGAUCUAGCCAUGCCGCGUGAGCGAUGAAGGCCUUAGGGUUGUAAAGCUCUUUCGUGGGGGAAGAUAAUGACUGUACCCCAAGAAGAAGCCCCGGCUAACUCCGUGCCAGCAGCCGCGGUAAUACGGAGGGGGCUAGCGUUGUUCGGAAUUACUGGGCGUAAAGCGCACGUAGGCGGACUGGAAAGUCAGGGGUGAAAUCCCGGGGCUCAACCCCGGAACUGCCUUUGAAACUCCCAGUCUUGAGUUCGAGAGAGGUGAGUGGAAUUCCGAGUGUAGAGGUGAAAUUCGUAGAUAUUCGGAGGAACACCAGUGGCGAAGGCGGCUCACUGGCUCGAUACUGACGCUGAGGUGCGAAAGCGUGGGGAGCAAACAGGAUUAGAAACCCCAGUAGUCC
rnacentral:rRNA from 1 species